rnacentral:rRNA from 1 species
GGCUGCAGUAUUUUGACUGUACAAAGGUAGCAUAAUCAUUUGUCUUUUAAUUGAAGGCUGGUAUGAAAGGUUGGAUGAAAAAUAUACUUUCUUUAUUAUAUAUAAUUAAUUGAAUUUUUUAGUCAAAAAGCUAAGAUUUAUUUAUAGGACGAGAAGACCCUAUAGAACUUUAUUUUUUAUUUUAUAUAAAAUUUUUGGUUUAUUAUAUUUUUAUAUAAUUUUAUAAAUUUUAUUGGGGUGAUAGAAAAAAUAAUAUAACUUUUUCUUUUAUUAACAUUUAUUUAUGUUUUUUUGAUCCUUUAUUAUGGAUAAUAAGAUUAAGUUACCUUAGGGAUAACAGCGUUAUUUUCUUGGAGAGUUCUUAUCGAUAAGAAAGUUUGCGACCUCGAUGUUGGAUUAAAAUAAGUGGCAGGAGUAGAA